rnacentral:rRNA from 1 species
AAUGAACGCUGGCGGCGUGCCUAACACAUGCAAGUCGGAUGUGCCCGCAAGGGUGCAUGGCAGACGGGUGAGUAACGCGUGGGGAAUCUACCUUUUAGUGGGGAAUAACGCUCCGAAAGGAGUGGUAAUACCGCAUGUGACCAUCGGCUGGGAUGCUGAUGGUGAAACCCUGGGACCUUCGGGCCAGGGGCUAGAAGAGGAUCCUGCGUCUGAUUAGCUAGUUGGCGGGGUAACGGCCCACCAAGGCGACGAUCAGUAGCCGGCCUGAGAGGGUGAUCGGCCACACUGGAACUGAGACACGGUCCAGACUCCUACGGGAGGCAGCAGUGGGGAAUUUUGCGCAAUGGACGAAAGUCUGACGCAGCAACGCCGCGUGGGUGAUGAAGGUCUUCGGGUUGUAAACUGCUUUUGUCAGGGAAGAAAUCCUCUAGGUUAAUACCCUUGGGGGAUGACGGCACCUGAAGAAUAAGCACCGGCUAACUACGUGCCAGCAGCCG